rnacentral:lncRNA from 1 species
AAAUGACAAGUAGAAACAGCAAAAUCCCUUAACUGAAAGAAACUUUCUACCAGUAACACAAGUACAUAGAUAUAUAUUGUAAUAGAUAACAUAAAUAACUUCACAAGCAGCACUGUUAGCUGCUGCACCAUACAACGCGACAUUGUUAGCUGCGGCACCAUAGCAGCUAAAAAUGUGUGACAAUCACACAUAUAUAUGACAAGACGAAACAAAUAGCACAUCCUGACAAGAUUUUAUACCUUCUCCAUUGGCAUAUCAUACAUUCUCUAAUUUGC